GCAAAAGAUGUAGUGAGUAAGAAGCAUAUCGUUUUUCACAAGAAAUAAGGGGAAGAUCAUCAAACAAUACAUGAACAACGAAUCGUAUAUAUGCUAAGUGAGAUGCAUUUCGCAAAGGAGGAGCAAACUCGUACGUAAUGUUUGGAACGUUUCCUUUGUGUAGUGAAUCGUAGUGAAUCUUUGCAUAAUUGAUACUCAAAUAGUUCUCUCUCAGCUAUUUGAGUAAGAAGCAUAUCUUUUUUCAUCAGUUUUUUCUCCAGUUUCACAAGUUGUUCUGCGAAGAACAACUGGCAGCAGAAAUGCACUAUCUGUAGCCACCUAUUUUACUCAAAUGGAAGGUUUUGAUGCAGAAGUUUCUGGUUGGUGUUAUCUUGAUGGUCCCUUGCUAUGCCAUUGAAUCGGAGGGAGACUUUUAAUCAUCUGGCAGGCCAACAUAUCACCUUCCAAUUUCAGAAGUUUCAUGUUUUGUAAUCAAAUGUUGAUGUACAUUGUUUGAAUGUUAGUUCGGUACGAUAUUUUCUGAGUUGAAAUGUUGGUAGUGUGGAUUUAAUACUUUGUAGUUUUUAUACUAUACUGAUGUAUGUUGGCACUUAUCAUUAUGGUUGAUUAUGCUCAACAUAAUCACUUUUAUAUUGUGUAUUAAAAUUUGACUUGGCCAUGUUCUUAAAAAGAUUGUCCAGGUAAUUGAAUACUAUAAUUAUUUUGACGUAGGAA